rfam:Salmo salar isolate Sally breed double haploid chromosome ssa11, whole genome shotgun sequence.
CCUAAUUGCUUCUAUAAGUCGCUCUGGAUAAGAGCGUCUGCUAAAUGACUUAAA